AUUAAAUGGAUACAUUUACCCUUAAUCCUAUAAUUCUAAAAUGCAUUAAAAAUCGCGAGUAUUCUGAUUAAUUAAAAUUGGAAGGGCUGUAUGUAUUUAGAUAUCAUUAUUGACCACUCUCUAAUAAAGACUUGAACAAUGGUAAAAUUCUCCCUCGCGGGCGAACAGCUCUGUAUAGCCACUGAUUUUAAUUACCUGAUAUGAUCUUCUUUUCUUGCAGGUAAUUAUCACAGUAUUAAGGAAC